rnacentral:lncRNA from 1 species
UUUUAAAACCAGAUGUAGACUUUAAAAGUGAUUUUGAAAAGUUUCUAAAUAUUUUAGUUGUAUAAUAAUUAUAAUCAUUAUUGAUACCAGAUCUGGCUCAAUAUAAAUUAGAUUCGUUAGAUAAGUUAACAAUUUUAUGACUAUAAUCCUUUACAAGCCUCUGGCAGACAAGAGACUACUGAAUUAUUGACACUUAAUCCCCACUGCAGAUUAUUGUAAUAAUUUAUGUCGGUAUGACUGAAAAAAUAUAAUGUUAAUUUAUGAUCCCGUUUAUAAAAUUUAUAAAAUACCGCGAAUUUAACUCGUGCUACAAAAUAUUUAUAUGAGAAGACAUUUACGCGAAAGGCAAAGAAAAAAUGGUUUAGUAUAAAGUGUAUAUCAGAUAAUUAUGGAAGCCCUGGAGGGACAUUUUAAAUUAAAUUUGAAAUAUUAAUUAUUAAAGCUUAUUGAUUAAUUACUGAAAUUUAAAACUUAGUUCUUAAAACUUAAAUAUUAGAAAUAAGGUAAAGAGCACUGGAGAAAAGCGGCAAACGUCCAUUACAUGACCGGGUUUCACAAACAUCAGAACUGAUACUGACACAGAGAACAAAAAUGAGAACCUGGUGGACUUUCCAAUUUCAAAGUUUAAUGCUGACGUAUUUACUAUAGAGGCUGACCCCGACGUUUCUACUUUAGAGACUGACGGAGACAUUCAAUCUCAAAGUUUGGACAUGAAUAGGCUGACAACAAUCAUCCAAGAAGGAAGAUUGGAAACGGAUCUAUUCCUGCUUGUGAAUGAACCGAAUAUUUCACCUGCAAAUGCUGCCCAGAAUUGAAACUAUAAUGUCUGACAUUUCCAUAAUCAGCACUAGCAAGGUGCUUCAAUUGAGCUUUUGAAUUCCAGUAUUUCAAGACACUAAUCGUAUUGACCACACCCCUAAUAUUGCCCAUGUUCUGGCAUGAAAUAAUUAUGUACUUAAUACUUGUAAAAAUGUGUAUAUAUGUAUUAUAGAGUUUGAGACAGUUUAUUUUCAAUAUUGGAAAGUGUGUGAAUUAGCAGAUAAAUAUUCCAGUUCAGAACCCUUAAAUCUCUAUUCUGAUCGUCCGAAGUGGACAGCACUUUUCUUUUCUGGAGUUAUAGAACAACAGCUCGAGACAGUAUGUAAAGUUUAUUUCCAAUGGAAACAAAUGUAUAGUACUGUGCAAACAUUACUCUUUUUUAUUAAAAUACCUAUAGAGUCA